rnacentral:rRNA from 1 species
AUUGAACGCUGGCGGCGUGCCUAACACAUGCAAGUCGAGCGGUAACAGGUGUAGCAAUACAUGCUGACGAGCGGCGAACGGGUGAGUAAUGCUUCGGAAUCUACCCAAUGGUGGGGAAUAACCAGCCGAAAGGUUGGCUAAUACCGCAUACGUCCCACGGGAGAAAGCAGGGGAUCGCAAGACCUUGCGCCAAUGGAUGAGCCGAAGUCGGAUUAGCUAGUUGGAGGUACGGCUACCAAGGCGACGAUCCGUAGCUGGUCUGAGAGGACGACCAGCCACACUGGGACUGAGACACGGCCCAGACUCCUACGGGA